GACGAGCGCUGGCGGCGUGCUUAACACAUGCAAGUCGAACGGAAAGGCCCUGCUUUUGUGGGGUGCUCGAGUGGCGAACGGGUGAGUAACACGUGAGUAACCUGCCCUUGACUUUGGGAUAACUUCAGGAAACUGGGGCUAAUACCGGAUAGGAGCUCCUGCUGCAUGGUGGGGGUUGGAAAGUUUCGGCGGUUGGGGAUGGACUCGCGGCUUAUCAGCUUGUUGGUGGGGUAGUGGCUUACCAAGGCUUUGACGGGUAGCCGGCCUGAGAGCGUGACCGGCCACAUUGGGACUGCGAUACGCCCCAGACUCCUACGGGAGGCAGCAGUGGGGAAUAUGGCACAAUGGGCGGAAGCCUGAGGCAGCAACGCCGCGUGCGGGAUGACGUCCUUCGGGUUGUAAACCGCUUUCGCCUGUGACGAAGCGUGAGUGACGGUAAUGGGUAAAGAAGCACCGGCUAACUACGUG
rnacentral:rRNA from 1 species